rnacentral:rRNA from 1 species
AUUGAACGCUGGCGGAAUGCUUUACACAUGCAAGUCGAACGGUAGAGGGGGCAACCCCCUUGAGAGUGGCGAACGGGUGAGUAAUAUAUCGGAACGUGCCCAGUCGUGGGGAUAACGUAGCGAAAGUUACGCUAAUACCGCAUACGAUCUAAGGAUGAAAGCGGGGGACUCGCAAGAGCCUCGCGCGAUUGGAGCGGCCGAUAUCAGAUUAGGUAGUUGGUGGGGUAAAGGCUCACCAAGCCAACGAUCUGUAGCUGGUCUGAGAGGACGACCAGCCACACUGGAACUGAGACACGGUCCAGACUCCUACGGGAGGCAGCAGUGGGGAAUUUUGGACAAUGGACGCAAGUCUGAUCCAGCCAUUCCGCGUGCAGGAUGAAGGCCCUCGGGUUGUAAACUGCUUUGUACGGAACGAAACGGUGAGCUCUAAUACAGUUUGCUAAUGACGGUACCGUAAGAAUAAGCACCGG